UGCACGGUAGCUUAGUUGGUAAAGCACUUGUCUAGCGAAUAAGGGUCGUGAGUUCAAAUCUCACCUGAGCUG
rnacentral:tRNA from 1 species